UUUUAUCGCCACGAGGUGGCGAGUUUGUUUGGUUCCAUGUACUCGCGCGUGAGUUGUGUUUGUGAGUAUUUCUUUAGUGUUUCAUGGGUCCCACAUGUGUUACUUUCUCUGUUUAGGUUUGCGUCUGUUUUUGGUUUUGUGGACAACUUCUUCCCGAAGCUUUUACCCUUUUACGAGACUCUCUCUCUUUGAAAUCGUCAGAGACAUCGGAGAGCCAAAAACCUUCCCCUUCCUUCAUGAAUCUUCCUCCGUUUGCUGUGCAUGAAUCCAUUUUCUUACUUGCGUUUCUACCCAUCUCUCUCAAGACUGAGUGGUGGCAACUGGCAAGUGAAGAGGGUAAUUGAUUUUCAUGGAGCCGUUGUCGGAGAUAAGUGAGCAUUUAGAAGAGGCAAGGAACAAUCAACAGCUCAACGAGAAUGCUUGAUCGACUUUUGUUGGAACCAUCACUGAGGAUUCAUAGCACGGGAUCCUACAGCUCUCUUAGCAUCUACCCAUUGUGCCAUCCCAGAGGCGCGUCUGGAAGCGCCAUUUUUGCAGCCUGAUUACAUAACCGACUAGCCUCCCGCUUCUAUGACCUAACCCGCCGACAACUAUUUGAGGUUUUUUUACCGUGUUUAUGUCCGUUUUAAUGGGGUGUUUUCUUAGACGGGCCGUUUCCGUGGAUAUAUUUCGUACUUUUGGUUAUUGGUGAUGGUGUUUAUGUGAGUUGCAUCUCAUAUUUUUUUGUUUUUUUACCGUGUUUAUGUCCGUUUUAAUGGGGUGUUUUCUUAGACGGGCCGUUUCCGUGGAUAGAUUUCGUGCCUUUGGUUAUUGGUGAUGGUGUUUAUUUUAUGCAGAGUCACUUCUAAGCCCAUUUGCAGCCAUUAUCUGAGUUGGUCGUGUUAUUGCGAUUGGUGUCUUCAAUUAUGUCGAGUACUUGGGAGGUUUUGUCUUCAUUAAACUCCGGGUCUCCUUAUAUGUAAGACUACCUUUGUUGGCAGUCUUUUAAAGCUUGGCGUCUGCAGUUCUUUGGGAUACCUGGCAGCCAUUAUCUGAGUUGGUCGUGUUAUUACGGUUGGUGUCUUCAAUUAUGUAGAGUACCUGGGAGGUGUUGCCUUUGUUAGCGGUCUUUUAAAGCUUGGCGUCUGCAGUUCUGUGGGAUACCUGGCAGGUGUAAAGGCCUAACAUAAAACCACUAUCUAUGGAUCUCUCUCUUCAGAACUCUUCCUUUUUUCUUAAAUGGCGUCAGUUUAUAGAAACUGUCGUCCAAUGCUGAGUUGAUAGCUCAUGAAUUUUGAGGGAAGCUUUUGGAAGGGCUUCAUUAUACAUUGAAUGUCUGUCGAAGAAAGUCCCCGUUGUCAACAAAGAGGGAGUUAAGCAGAGAUAUGCCUCGAUUUCCAGAAAUCAACCAUCAACUUGCAUGUGUUAGGCAUAACAUCUGGCUAGCAUGAUUGGGCCCUGUAGUGAUAGAAAGUGAAACAAUGAGAAUGUUGCUUAUCUAGGUUAUCACCUAAUUCUGGGCCAUCUAUCUUUUCAGUGUGAUUUAGUUUUUAUGGGUUUGCUCUUGACUUUGUAAGUUGUGCCUCAUAUUCUUCAUACGUGUCUAUCCAGGUUUCAAUUGUCUUUUUUUCAGGCUUUUUUUUUUUUACUCAAAUCAGUGUUGUUUCCCUUCAUGAUAUACACCUAGCAUGACCUUUACUAAUCUAAAUUUGUUUCCCUUCGAUUUGAAA